rnacentral:rRNA from 1 species
CACCGCCCGUCACUACCAUGAAAGCUUACUGUACCAGAAGUCAUCGUGCUAACCGUAAGGAGGUAGAUGCCUAAGGUAUGGUCAGUGAUUGGGGUG